UCCUAGCUCCAAGCCCUCCCCCUUACCAGCUGUGUGUGUUGGCUUCCUGAGAUGAAUGGUGGAAAAGGCUCUGGUCCUGACUGUGCUGAACUCAAUGGCGAUACCUCUGGACUCGAGCAGCAUGUCAGUACAGCUUAGCCAUGUGACCCAGAACAUGUCUGUCUACCAAGUUUCUGUAUGUGGGAGGCCUGGACAAUGACGGCCGCAAUUUCCCUCUCCUUAAAUAGAGCUUCAGGGAAAGAAUCCCUCGUUUCAGAUGAGUGGCAGUUACCGUACCUGCUGGGAGCGUUGCAUUGAACCCAGGGACCAGCCAAGAGGAACUAAUGGACCCCGUGGAAGAUCAUUUGAGCCUCAGCUACGGGAAGAGCUGGAUGCAGGCCGGGGAAGCGGAUUGGUGGACUGCACAUUCAUUUAAGGUUGAAAUGCUUAGCAUUGUAAAGGUGACUGUGAAUUUUAAGCUUCAUUCUUUAUUGACCUGGCAGAUGGGAGAGUGCUGUGUCUUGGUGUAAUGAAGCAUUAUGUUGGUACAGUGGAUCUCUGUUCUUCUUGAAGUUCAGUACGACGCAAAGAAAAGUGGAAAGGGCUUGAGAUUUGGAUGCGGAGGUCAGGGAAUGAAGCCUUGGCUGUGCCACUCAUCUGCUUGGAUGCUAA
rnacentral:lncRNA from 1 species